CCUCCCACCACCAAUCCCGUUCCACCCCUGCUGUCAGCCCUGGGAAACCCAUUAUAUCGGGCCCAGGAUGUGACGUCCACCGACUUCCGCCUGGGGGGAUGACAGAGGCGAGGCCUUUGGUGUGAGAUCCAGACUUCAGGUGCUCAGAGGGGCUUCAGGAACCCACUGUGAGACCUUGGGUUGAGGCAGUGUCCUCAGGUCACUGAGCAGAGGAGGCCUAAGCAGUGCCAGAAGUCAAGCAAACAAGAUGACUCCACAUGAGAUGGGAGAAUCACAAGGAGGAAACAGCCUAGACCCCUGGGUCACCUGAGAGCAGAAAGCCCUUGCCAAGUUGCAUCAGCAUUUAUGUGCAUAUAAAAUAAAUUUUUGUUGUGUUAAG